rnacentral:miRNA from 1 species
CGAAGGAGGGAGAAGGGACUGACUGGCUGAGUCAGUCCCUUCUCCCUCCUGUG